GCUAACGUUAUUCGACUUUUUCCUGUAGAAUGUUAGUGAUUUUUCUUGCAUAAGAAAUAAUAAGUGAAAAAAAAAAAGGAAUUCUUGAAGUCUACAGUAGCCUAAUAAUAAAAACAAGGCGUUGUAAUCACCCAAUAGCCUACCAUGAAACAAACUUAUUCGGCUGAUCGUUUUCAAUUAUUUCGGUUGUUAGAAAGUCGUAGCAUAUUACAACAAAACCUGUCGAGUGCCCGUUGCUGCUCAAGAUAUAACUCAUGUUACCCAUGUCCAAGAAUCUCCCAGUAAUAUAAAGCUUCUGUCGGAAUUUUUUUUAUUUAGAAUUAAAAACAAAUAAAAAAUUCAGGACGAAGGGGAAGGAGCAGUCAAAAGAAUUUCAGGAUGCCCAUCAUUAUUCAUGGAGAUUCUACAACGUAUAGCUUAUAGACUCAAUUCGUUCAAGGCCUAUGCACUCAUUGUUUCUCAAUGGCUAUACCUGGAUUAUUUACUAUCCAUAUAUCCAAUAACUAGACUAUUCAAUGUUGUAAAAUUAGCAGACCACGGUUUAUCUAUGUGUUUGGUUACACUGCUACCCUCUAGUAGCGACCAGACUAUGUAAAUAAAGUGGACAGUAUAGAAGGUAAGUCUAUAGGUUAUUUCAUAAAUUUACCCAAUAACCAUAAAUUUUACAACCUAAACUGCAUACACUAAUAUGUGGAAAGCCAAAUCAAAUCAAAGUUGUGGUUUAAGGUAAUAGACAAAUGUAGCCUACUCCGACUGAAGCCAUUACCGAGUUAAUAAAUGAAUCUUUUUGUA